GGGGCCGCCGCGGCGUCCGCGCCGCGCGGGCCGCGGCGGUCGUCUUGCGGCGGGGAGCGAGCUUCCUGCGGGAAGCCCUUCUGUGCGCCUCGCCCCCCGGGAGCCUGGGCCUUGGGCCCCGCGGCAGCGCCUUCCCCUCCCCGGAGCCCGGCUCAGAGCAGGGCCCCAGUUUGGGUUACAGUUCUGAGAAGUACAAAAAACCCUGCUCACCUAAAGAGCAGGACGGAUAGCCGGUCCCCUGUGGGGUGGUGAAAUGUUCUAGAACUAGACGGUGGCGCUGGUUGCCCAACAUUAUGAAUGUACCACUGAAUUGUACCUUUUAACAUGGUUUAAAUGGUGGGUUAUUUGUUGGGUGAACUUUUCCACCAAACAGAGCUAAAAACGCACAACUUAGGGCCUCCAGACACAUGAAAAUGUGGCACGCGCGAACAUCUAGAAACAAGGCAGUGGUCUUGGCAGAGAAAGAGCGCUGAGUGCUGCUGACCCCAUCUCUGCCUCUGUGUGUGUGACCCGAGGCCGGUCUGUUGCUCCACCUACCAAAGGAGACUAUUUCUCACUGAACACGGGUUCCGCUAAGUAUCCGACAAAGAGCAUCUUGUCUCGUCUCGUACUAGUGUUCACAGGUGGCAAGUGCUCACUGUAUUUCGGAAAAAAAGAAACGAGGACUCAGAGAGCUGGGAUUCUUUACCCCGUCACACAGCCCCAUGCAGCAGCCCACUCCGAGGGGGUCAUCUAGCAACGGGAACGGUUGUGGGAUGGGGCAAACCCACGAACAGGGGCGUCUGGGGAGCUCAGUGCUGGAGCCACUGCGUGCGGCUCGGGUCGUGCUCCCGGGGUCCUGGGAUCGAGCCCCGCAUGGGGCUCCCUGCCUCUCUGCUUGGUGGGGAGUCUGCUUCUCCCUCUCCCUCUGCCUACCACUCCACCUGCGUGUGCUCUCUUUCUCUCUGUCAAAUAAAUAAAUAAAUUCUUUAAAGCAAAAACCCGAAAAAGAGGCAGGCUUUGUUUUGUUUGUUUGUUUUUAAGAUUUAUUUAUUUAUUUAUUUGAGAGAGAGCACAAGCAGGGGGAGCAGCAGGCAGAGGGAGAAGCAGGCUCCCCGCCGAGCAGGGAGCCCGACGCCGGGCUCGAUCCCAGGACCCUGGGAUCAUGACCUGAGCCGAAGGCAGACGUUUCACCGACUGAGUCACCCAGGCGCCCCAAGAGGCAGGCUUUGAAGUGACGUGAUUUAAGUGCUCCACGCUUGGUCCAGAAAUGCUGGCAUCGUGCAUAAGCGUUACUUGGUCUGGAGUCCGAACUCCCCUUUCCAAAGUGCCACAUCCUUGGAUUCAACCGCUAGGCUGCCUUUCCUCUGACAGAACUCGGGCAGCGGCCGGGUUCCAUGAACUUCGAGGCUGAGUUUGCCACAAGCAAAUCCCCAGUCCAACCUACAGGCUCAGUGAAGUUUCAUUCAAAUCCCGUAACUAAGUGAGCUCCUCCCAGCGUCCGGGAGGCCAGGGCUGUCCUGGGAGCCCACCAGCAGCUGGGCAGGAAAUGGUUCUUGUUACAAAGAGGAGGUCAUCUGCAGCAGCGGCCCCUCCUCCACCCCCUUCCUCCAGGGUGAAAUCGGGAGGCUGUCCGCCUACCUUUGUGCCAUAGCUCCCAGAGAGUGGCACACCCCACUCUUCCAGGAUUGGGGACCAUGUGUCCCCGAGUCCAGAAGAGAUUUCCCUCGCAAAGUUCCUGCCUCCUGGGCAGGCAGCCACUUGCAGGCCUCGGCGCCUGCAGGGCUGGGCCGAUCUUAAAGUACCUGCCAGUGGUUUCAGCAGGAAGAUGCUCUUUGACUUUGCCAUUCCCGAGGAUUUUCACACACACAUUUUUUAAAACUUUGAUUCUGGUGACAGGCCUUUGAGGCAUGCAGAGUUGAGAACGGGAGAGGAAGCCCCAGCCCAGCCCAGACUGGGAAGUGGCCGACCCGCCCCCACUGACCAGCUCAGACCGGGUGACACCUCAGUCCUGGCUGGCUGGAAAGGGGUGACUCACUCUGGUCGUCAGGCAGCUCAGGGGAUUCCCACUCAGGUUCCUUCCUGCCAAAAAGAAAGCAAAACUCCCCCCAAGGAAGCCACAGUGGGAGGGCUUGGGGAGGGCCUGGGGCAGCCCCAAGCAGACCGGGGAGGGCCCACAUCAUGCUCCCACUGUUCCCUGAAGCCUGGGGUCUUGGAGGCAGCAGAGGGCCGCUGUCCUGGGCCUCAGUGCCCCCCAGAGAGAGGCAUGGGCCUGGCUGCACAUUGGGGUCCACGCUGCUGUGGACGCAGGAGAGCCCACCAGCUGCCCGCUGGGCCUGUGGACUCCUGCACCCGCUCUGCCCGAUGGCCCGAUGGCUCUCGAGGCAGGCAGUCUGCCCCCACCCCUUCUGUUCCCCCUUCCCAUGGCAUCCCCUGUGCCCCAGAUGCUUCUGAACGCUUGCUGCACCUCCUCUCCCAAUAGGGCAUGACCGCCCCCCCCUCAGAGGUCCUCACCUCUUGUCCUUUCCUCACUCAGGCCUUUGGGAAUACAGGCAGGAAGGCUGACCCAGCCCCCCACCCCCGGCAGCACCCCGGACACAGGAUGCCCCUCGUGUGCCCAGUUCUGUCCCCGGAGGAGGGACCCCUGCUUGGCAGGGCUUGCCCCGUGAGGAUGGGCUCCCUCACCCCACACACCCCGGCUCCUGCCCUAACAGCCCAGCCUUCUCCUCCGCUCAUUUCCCAGACAUGUGACGGUGAGCCCGGGGCUGCAGCUUCUGAAGGAAGCUGGUCUCGCUCUCACUGUGCAGUCAUCUGACGGUGCCUUUCCAGAAGGCCAGCCAGAAGGGGCUCCCCCCGCCCCCACAGAGUGCACAGCCACUGUGGCCCCUCCCCCAGGGCAACCCCCUCAAAAAGAAGAAACACACAGGGUGGUGAGGUGAGAAACAGAGUGCUGGGGCAGGCCCAUCCUGGGGGCGUCCCAGAAGGGCAGGGAGGAGGAAGCCAGGCCCCCGUCUUGAAGGGCCAGCCCCGAGCUGGCCCCCAGCAGUGUGAGCCCAUGGUGAGCGCUGCUGGUGGAGAAGACCGCGUGGCAGUGACCGACAUGUGCGGGAGCGUCCUCUGUGGGCAGAGGUGGACGGCUGUCUCCGUGCCCAUUCGUACUAUCUGUAGACUUGGAGAGACACAUGGAGAGUAAUAGGAGCGGAGAGGAGGGAAGAGGAGGGGCAUGCUCACUAUACAGCACCCCACCUGAUGAUCUUACUGCUUGGAAAACAGUUGUGUUUUAAGCAACAGAAGCUCACUUCGGAAGCUCUGGAAAACACAGAAGAGUACCACGAAGAAAGCAAAGAUCACCCCAAAUUCCCCCACCCAGAAGCAAACUCUUCAGAUUCCCUACUCCAUUUAACACCCACCUCCCUUCAGCCAGCCUCAGAACACAAUGCCAGACCAUACCCCAGAGCCAAAGGCCCAGGUGACAGCCUCACGUGCAGAAUUAAAAAUGCCCACGCUGGGGGCACCCGGCUGGCUCAGUCGGUAGAGCAUGCGACUCUUGAUCUCCGGGUUGUGAGUUUGAGACCCACGUUGGGCGUAGAGAUCACCUAAAAAAAAAAAUGCCCAGGCUGCCCUGGCCAUCCCUAGCCUCUGCUUCCCAGGCAGGCCUGGCCCCGGGGCCUUUGCGCCCGCCAGCCCUCACUGGGACCAGCUCCCUGCCUCUCCCAGGUACUUGGCACCUCCCUGGGCCCUCUGCAGGUCUCAAGGUCUCCAGAUAAAGAUGAGUCUCUCUGCUGGUGGCCUUGUGUUAAGAGGGUUCCCUGACCCCUCACCCCAUGUGGCUACAAUCAGGUUGUGAGUUUUUCUCCUCCCCCAGAUGUGGGUCCCCCGAAGUCAGUGGUCCCUCUGGCCUCAUUUGGGGUUCAGCUCCUGGCUUGUUCUUGUUGGACAGAUGAAGGCAUGAUCCGGUAACUAAUGGCUGCACAGAGUUGAGGUCCCAAGGGCCGCCUCUGGAACCAGACCCCACUGCCCCUCUCCUGGCCCUCCUCGGCCCUUCCCACACGAACCCAGCAUCCAGUCCGCGCUCGCCCUCUGCUGGCCUCCGCCGGAAAUGCCGGCCGGGCCCUGAAGGCAGCACGCACCAGCUCUCUGCAGGGACUUUGCUCUGACUGCCUCACUUCAAACCUGCAAACCGUGCGGUGGCUUUGCUCACACUCGGACCCGCCAAGCUAAUCGCCUGGCCAAGGUCCACAGCCCCGUGUCUGGGAGGCUCCAAGUGGCCCUCCGAGUGUCUCUCCUCCACCCUGCCAUGGCGGGCUCUCCUGGGUCCACCACUGCUGCCCUGUGCCAUGGGGCUCCCACCUGUUUGGCUUUAACCCUGGUCCAGGACCCCAGCAUCCUUCAGCCCAACUGGGACCUCCGACCCUGGUCCUACCACCUGUCCACCGUCCGUCCUAGCUUCCCCAGACCCCAGGCCACACCCAUCAGCCCCCCCCCCCCCUCCAGCCCCCUGGCCUCCCUUCUCUCCCAGUGACCAUCCGCGGAUGCCCUGCUCCUGGCUUGAUCUCGGGGGUCCUACUUCUGAAGCUGACCGGGGCUGAAGUGCCCAGUCCAGUCUCCCGUGCUCCCUCCUGGGGUGACAGCCCUGCUUUCUCCCGCACAGGGGCCUUUCCCGUCCUCACUGAUGGCUAGAUGGACGGAUCCUUCUAAGUCCAAACAGCACGAGGUAUAUUCAGGGACGACAGUGGCCAGAAAACAAAGCAGCAAAAAUGUUCUUUGUCUGACCUUCACAUACAGAAUUGUGCCAGCAAAAAAAAAAAAAAAGAAAGAAAGAAAAAAAAAAAGGAAAUACAUUCAAUAGAAAGUACAAAAAAGGAAAAAAUAAUGGAUUAAAAUUUUCUUUACUUUGUUGUAUUUUUUCAAAAACAAGGGAAUACUUGUACCCACAUGUAAGUUUUUCACAGUAGUGAGUAUUAUAGCCCAGUCUCUGUUUUUAAGGCUCAGUGUCUGCAAACUUGACGAUUUUGUCAUGAUCGAUCCUUUUCUCCUUGUCGUGAUCAGUACACAACCAGCCAUAUUUGCCCAUCUAUUUUUGCUCAUUGCUGGUAAAAGAACACUUUUUAUUGAUCUUAAUUUCGGUAAUUUCCUUUCACUUGCAGCCCCAGAUUAGGGAUGACUUUAAGCAGCAUACAUUUGGUAGGAGUCCCAAAAAUGCCACUUCCGCUACAUUCUAGAAAUUGUGAUUCGGUCCAUGUCUCAGUGUGACCAAAGCCAAUCCUCAUGGCUUCCAGACGUCUCAGCAGCUGGACAGUAACUCAAGCACUGUCACUGCACUGAUGUAGUCUCUUUUGGGUUUUUUUAUUCUUAUUUUUAUUUUUUUUUUAAGAUUUUUUGGGGGCGCCUGGGUGGCUCAGUCGUUAAGCGUUGGCCUUCGGCUCAGGUCAUGAUCCCAGGGUCGCUGUGUCUCUCUCUCUGUCAAAUAAAUAAAUAAAAUCUUUUAAAAAUGAGAGAGCAUGAGUGGGAGGGAAGGGCAGAGGGAGAGGGAGAAACAGACUCCCCGCUGAGCAGGGAGCCCGAUGCAGGACUCGAUCCCAGGACCCCGGGAUCAUGACCUGAGCCGAAGGCAGAUGUUCCACUGACUGAGCCACCCAGGCGCCCCUGAAAAGGAAUUUAAAAACAGAAACAAGAACAUUAGUCUCAGUGACGGACUCUAACAUCUUAGCGACAGGGGUUCCUGGGAGUGAAAGCCGACAAGAGAGGGCAAGACGUUAUCAAAGAAAUAGCACAAGAAAAUAUCCCCAAACUGAAGGGUGCUAUUUUCUAAACUUAGAGGGCCCAAAGUUCUGAGCAAAUGAUUGGGUUAGAAAGCCACAUCAUGAAAUUCUACCCCUAUUCAUAGGAGCUAAUGGGGGAAGCAGGCCCUGUCCAUGGAUGGACAGAUGAACAGAAUGCGGAAAGUCCAUGCGACGGAAUAGUAUUCACCCAUAAAAAGGAAGGAGGGUCUGGCACCUGCUGUAAAACCUAUGAGCCUUGAGGACACGCUGAGAGAGCCAGUUACAACAGGGCAGAUACUGUAGGAUUCCACUCACUGGAGGUCCCUAGAGGAGCUGAAAUCGCAGAAGAAGGCUUUAGAACGGUUUUCUCGUCUCCACGUGUGAAGGUGAACGGGUAACACCGGUACACUGCCCGCUGUCAACGACGCACAAAGAAUAUGGACGGCGUGCCAGGCCUCCUAGAGCUGGUUCUCUGUGACACCUGCUGCAGGUCCGCGCCCGAGGCUACUCGUCCCUGGGCACUGAGGAAACGGGAAGCACCCAGAGCCAGGAGAGGGUGUGCACAGCGCCCUUCCCCGAAUCGCAUAUGCUUGAGGCCCCACCAAACCCGCACCCACCCUUGCCCCCAACAUCUGUGCAGCACGUGACCACGACUGAAGCGACACCGAGCUUCAGGUCGCGCGCAGGGUGGCAAACGGAGCA